GGAUAUUCUGCAUAAUUUCACAGACGUUACAACAAACGUCGUUAACAAACGAUUGCGUGUGACUAAUUAAAUCACGUUUGAUGUUGAGCAAAUUGCUCGUAAUCGACUCUACGUUACGGGCUAAUGAAUUCUCGGAGUAAUUAUUCACGGCGUAGCAAAUAAUUCGGGGAAUUUGAGGGACUCGAUUAGGCAAGAAAUUAGACUAUGUAUCACUGUGAUGUUUUAUUGUCUUUCUAGGAUGUGAGGAAAGGGAGGCUGGAUUUUAAGGAGUGUAAUUCUGUACUGUGACUGUAUAAUGUAACAAAAUGACUUGUAAUCGUGCUGUAAACUUUACAUUUUUAAAAUCGUGCGAAAAUAAGUACGUCCCAUAUCUGCAGUUGUUGAAGAGCGUUAGAAAGUAAUUUAAAUGCAGCACAAUCGCAAUUAAUCUAACACGGGGCAUUAUAUUUACAUAAUCCAACAAAACUUAGCGGUAAAUGACACACUCCAUAUCCUCUGAUGACGUCGUGGCCGAAGAUAUCCAAGCCAUAAACAGACAUUAUUAACUGUGGCCCUAAGACACCAUUUUACAGAUGAUUGGUUAUAUUUCACGUGUUUAAUAAUAUUUCCUAGUUAUUUUAGGAAUUUUCAAUAUUAUGAAAUCCUUUGAUCCUACUAUUCGCUAUAUUUUCUAUUCAUUAUAUAUUAUAAGAAGACAAUAUAUAGUACUUAUAUAAUUUUUCCAGUUUUUUAAGAAGAAGGAUUCAGCAACAAUCAAUAUAUUCUAGAACGACUAGAAACCAGAAAAUAAAAUUAAAAAAGUAAAAUUUAUUGGUUCAAUCGUAGCUUUGGGGCUUCGAUUUCCUCAAGUACGUAAAUCGAGUAUCAUUGAAUCCACUUACAUCCAUGCGGGUUAGUACUCUUGAACGUGACUUCUAGCGGAAAAUUCCAGACUGCCAGAUUUCGUGGGUCGCUGCUGCAUUUGCACAUCUGCGUCAAACCUUCCUCGAUACCCUAAACCGGAUUGCACAAGUCACUAAACGAUCGACGAUAAAAUUCCGCCGUUGAAAUCGAUAGAACACUGCGUCUAGUCGACGCGACAGCGUGUCAUAGUAGGCGUUGUCAACAUCGUAAAACUCCGCGUGUUCGAUGGAUCCUGUGAUCGAGAGGAAGAAUUCACCUUCGACUGACAUGACCAACUUACGUAGCAAUCUAAUCG